ACAAUACCGCAUAUGCUUUUUCGAAAGCAAAGCUCGCAAGGGCGCCUUGGGAUGGGCCUGUGGCCGAUUAGCUAGUUGGUGAGGUAAGAGCUCACCAAGGCCACGACCGGUAGCUGGUCUGAGAGGAUGGUCAGCCACACUGGGAUUGAGAACGGCCCAGACUCCUACGGGGGGCAGCAGUGAAGGAAUUUUCGUCAAUGGGGGCAACCCUGAACGAGCAACUCCGCGUGCAGGAGGACGCUUUUCGGAGUGUAAACUGCUUUUCUUGGGGACCGAGAACGGACGGUACCCAAGGAACAAGCCCCGGCUAACUACGUGCCAGCAGCCGCGGUAAUACGUAGGGGGCGAGCGUUGUCCGGAGUUACUGGGCGUAAAGCGCACGCAGGCGGUUUCGUACGUCUGGAGUGACAGUUCCCGGCUCAACUGGGAAAGGUCUUCGGAAACGGCGAGACUUGAGGGCUUCAGAGGGACACGGAAUUCCGGGUGGAGUGGUGAAAUGCGUAGAGAUCCGGAGGAACACCAAUGGCGAAGGCAGUGUCCUGGGAAGCAUCUGACGCUCAGGUGCGAAAGCUAGGGGAGCGAACA
rnacentral:rRNA from 1 species